rnacentral:misc_RNA from 1 species
GAAAUGCGAUAAGUAAUGUGAAUUGCAGAAUUCAGUGAAUCAUCGAAUCUUUGAACGCACCUUGCGCUCUUUGGUAUUCCGAAGAGCAUGCCUGUUUGAGUGUCAUUAAAUUCUCAACUCUACCAGUUUUCUGUGUAGAGCUUGGAUAUGGAGGUCGUGCAGAGCGCUUCACCGCGUCCUGCUCCUCUUAAAUGGAUUAGCGAGUUCACUGGACUCCGUCUAUUGGUGUGAUAAUUAUCUACGCCGUGGAUUGGGUUUAGACUUGCUUCUAAUCGUCCGCAAGGACAACUCUUGACAAUUUGACCUCAAAUCAGGUAGGACUACCCGCUGAACUUAA